UCGACACGCAUGACAGUGAACGUAACUAAACUAAAGAGAUGCAGGCCAUUCACUUGAUCUCAUCCCCAACUAACCCCCCAGCACAAUACUUCACUGCCCACGAGGGUAAAGCAAGUCUGGAUGGCCUUUGAGGCAUUCUUAUUCAGCUUUAGGUCCCUCUGCCAUAAAGUAAAUUCCAAAGGUACGUUACAUUUGGUGAUAAUGUCGUCAAUAUAUAUGCAGUCCUGAAUGAAAUAUUAAAAAAUGAAUGUUGCAUUUGGUUGAGAUCCCAUCUUUAGAUUUCUGUGUUUGGUUCGGAUUCAGGCGAUGAAGAUGAAAA